rnacentral:rRNA from 1 species
AACGGCGAGUGAAGCGGCAACAGCUCAAAUUUGAAAUCUGGCUCUCGGGCCCGAGUUGUAAUUUGUAGAGGAUGCUUUUGGUGAGGUGCCUUCCGAGUUCCCUGGAACGGGACGCCAUAGAGGGUGAGAGCCCCGUCUGGUUGGACACCGAUCCUCUGUAAAGCUCCUUCGACGAGUCGAGUAGUUUGGGAAUGCUGCUCUAAAUGGGAGGUAUAUGUCUUCUAAAGCUAAAUACCGGCCAGAGACCGAUAGCGCACAAGUAGAGUGAUCGAAAGAUGAAAAGAACUUUGAAAAGAGAGUUAAAAAGUACGUGAAAUUGUUGAAAGGGAAGCGCUUGUGACCAGACUUGGGCUUGGUUGAUCAUCCGGGGUUCUCCCCGGUGCACUCUUCCGGCUCAGGCCAGCAUCAGUUCGCCCUGGGGGAUAAAGGCUUCGGGAAUGUGGCUCUCUCCGGGGAGUGUUAUAGCCCGCUGCGUAAUACCCUGUGGCGGACUGAGGUUCGCGCAUUCGCAAGGAUGCUGGCGUAAUGGUCAUCAGUGACCCGUCUUGAAACACGGACCAAGGAGUCGUCUUCGUAUGCGAGUGUUCGGGUGUCAAACCCCUACGCGAAAUGAAAGUGAACGCAGGUGAGAGCUUCGGCGCAUCAUCGACCGAUCCUGAUGUUAUCGGAUGGAUUUGAGUAAGAGCAUACGGGGCCGGACCCGAAAGAAGGUGAACUAUGCCUGUGUAGGGUGAAGCCAGAGGAAACUCUGGUGGAGGCUCGCAGCGGUUCUGACGUGCAAAUCGAUCGUCAAACAUGGGCAUGGGGGGCGAAAGACUAAUCGAAC